rnacentral:rRNA from 1 species
GACGAACGCUGGCGGCGUGCUUAACACAUGCAAGUCGAACGGAAAGGCCCUGCUUUUGUGGUGUUCUCGAGUGGCGAACGGGUGAGUAACACGUGAGUAACCUGCCCUUGACUUUGGGAUAACUUCAGGAAACUGGGGCUAAUACCGGAUAGGAGCUCCUGCUGCAUGGUGGGGGUUGGAAAGUUUCGGCGGUUGGGGAUGGACUCGCGGCUUAUCAGCUUGUUGGUGGGGUAGUGGCUUACCAAGGCUUUGACGGGUAGCCGGCCUGAGAGGGUGACCGGCCACAUUGGGACUGAGAGACGGCCCAGACUCCUACGGGAGGCAGCAGUGGGGAAUAUUGCACAAUGGGCGGAAGCCUGAUGCAGCAACGCCGCGUGCGGGAUGACGGCCUUCGGGUUGUAAACCGCUUUCGCCUGUGACGAAGCGUGAGUGACGGUAAUGGGUAAAGAAGCACCGGCUAACUACGUG